GACGAACGCUGGCGGCGUGCUUAACACAUGCAAGUCGAACGAGGUCCUACUGGUGGCAACACCAGGAAAGACCUAGUGGCGAACGGGUGAGUAACACGUGAGAAACCUGCCCCGAAGACU
rnacentral:rRNA from 1 species